rnacentral:rRNA from 1 species
UUGGCGAGAGACCGAUAGCAAACAAGUACCGCGAGGGAAAGAUGAAAAGGACUUUGAAAAGAGAGUCAAAGAGUGCUUGAAAUUGUCGGGAGGGAAGCGAAUGGGGGCUGGCGAUGCGCCCCGGUCGGAUGUGGAACGGUGCAAUGCCGGUCCGCCAAUCGACUCGGGGUGUGGAUCGGUGCGGAUUGGGACGGAGGCCAAAGCCCNGGAAGUUGUUAAGCCUGUGGAGACGCCUUCGCCUUGAUCGUGGCUGGCAGCGUGCGCCCUUGGCGUGCUUCGGCAUCUGCACGCUCCAGG